UCGGCGAGUGCGGCACCGCUCCGCGGUCCCCGGGGGGAUGGACGGCCUGGGCGCCCCUCGCCUCUUGCCCACCAGGGCAGCCCUGGAGCGAAGAAAGCAAUGCGCUCUCUUUGCUCAGCCCAGUGAAGGGGGGGGUUGUGCUGCCAGUGAGGAGCCGAGCAGGUGAGGCUGCAGCCUUGCCAGCAGAGAUCAACAAUAGUCACCUCGGGGGUGAAGCGCAGAGCUUGGGAAGAACCGACGUGGCUCUUCCCAAAGGAUAUGGUCAGUGUAGCACUUCUCAGCCACUGUGCUGGCUUUCUGUCCUCGUGGGGUAGUAAGUAUUACUUUAGCUUUGUCUUCAAAACCCUGGCUUUAAAGAAGCUCAAGUUGGGACCGCUCGCCCGUCUUGCAGAACGUGCCGUGCUUUUUGUGAAUGACCAUCCCCACCUCCUCCCCAGCAAGGCAGGGAGAGCGGCACAUUUCCCGACGUCUGCUUUUCCUCAGAUGCCAAUGAGAAAGCCGUUCAAGGAGUGUACAGCUACUGGGCUAAAAUACGAAGGAGUAGAGAAGGCUACUCGACCAGACAGUCACCUUCCAGAAGGGAGAAGAAAACCCUCGCUGAGGUUCAAAAGACCCAUGGCUAGAACUUGAGAGGAGCCCGUUCCUAGUAAACUGCGCUAUCCUUUUUAUGAUGGGAGACUUAAACUGACCUUAAACCAUCUCCAGCUGUGCUUUAGGAAGUUUAGCCUUAGUCUCAAUGAUGUUAAUUCUAAAAUAUUCCCUUCAUGACUAAUUCAUAUUCUUCCUUGAUAUUUAAUCUAAUUUGCUGCAGGCUAAUCCCUUUAGGUUUUGGCCUGUUGACAAACGGAAAUGACUAGUCCCUGUACUCCUGCUUCUUCUCUCUGUGGAUCUAUGGACACUUAUUAUCUCUUUCAGGUAUUUUUAGUUUCUUCAACAACUCUUAAAGCAUAAAAACAUCUGCUACUCUUCUCCUUCCUAGUUAAGAAGAAAAGAUUCCAGGUGUUCAGAGAUGACUGAAGGAGACACUAUCAGCAAGUUUUUGGUAAAUGCUACAUUCCCCGUACAUCUAUCUGGAUUAAAUUCUUUUGUUUCUAAGUGCUUUUAACUACCACCUCUAGGCUCUUACUGAAAUAUUUCUCCGUGAAGUAUUUUCCUCCUUGCUCUUCUGGGUAAUACAUCCGGGUAUCUUCUUCACUGCUCCUGUUAGCUUUAGUUUAACAGCUAUUAAAUACUUCAUUAAUAUUUUAGGUAACACAUAACAAACAUAAGCCUAAUGCUUAAUAUGACGCUUUCAAAUGGCAGUAGGUUUGGUUUUGAUCCUGGACUAUAAUAUUCCACAGAUCUGCUACAGAGAGUUUCUCAGUGAUUAUACAUGGAAAUUUACUCAACAAAAACUGGUAUGCUAUGGCCACCAAGUAUCUGUUGCCUAAGAAGACAAUAUCUCUUGGUCAUCACAGAGCAAGGUUUGCAUUCGUUUCUUUUGUUUGGAAAAUACUCUGAAAAUUCAGACUGAUGAAUGAUGGCUCAGUAGUUUUUGCAGCAAGUGGGAUGAUAGUCCAAGUUCCAGCCCAAGUUUUCAUAGGCAGCCUUGGGGAGCUAGUUUACCCAACCUGCAUCUCAGUUUCGCUUCCAUAAACUGAAGAUAAUGUUCCUUUCCCACCUGGGAAAUGCACUGAUACUAGUGAGUUAUUUGGAUGCUAUAAAAGAAGACCUAGGCAAAGCUUGUGCACAGUCAAAUUAUAAAAGUCCUAACAGAUAAACAAAAUAAAUCAGAUUUAAUAUUCUUUGGCUUUUGUUUACCUACCUUACACACUGGAAUUUCCCUGGACUCACUGUUAUUCCCUUGUGCUGUCUUCAUAACUGCAGCCUUGAGCUGGCCAGAUCACUUAAACUCUGGCAAAGUUUUUCCAUGAGCUGCCUCAUUGUGGUAGCUGGUUUAGGCACCCCAGCCACAGCAGUGUCUGGAACAAACAAAAGAGUUCCUUGGAAUAUGUUUUUCCUUUCGGUUUGGAGUGGCAUGCACUAAGCAACAUAUAAUCAAAUGCAACAAAACUUUUAACCUGUUUUGGCUACAUUUUAAAUAAAUCAUUUGGAGACUAAAAUGGAGAAUGAGAAACUUCAUCUCAGGCUGAUUUUUGUAAUAAAAACCAUUCUGCCUUACAAAAGGAGAAAAGGAGAGGCAUUCCCACCUGCUGCAUAUGGUGGCUGCCUGUGUCCUCUAAAGCAAUGAUCCAUCCCACAGGCCAAACUUUUCCAAUUUUGGUCUUGCAAACACCACCUACACAAAAGUUCCCAGUGCUGUACCGUGUCUUUUUUAAAUGAAAAAUUGUUAAUUGAAGUAUGUUAAUGCUGCAGGGAUGUAUGCGAAGCCAUCAGGGAAAACAGAAAUCGUACAAGCUGAGCUUAAUUUCUAAGCCCUUGCUGCACAGAAUUACUUAAACACAUGACUCCAAGGUUUUUCACAUAACUGUGGAGCAUUCAAGCAAUAUAAGGCAAGUACAGAAAGUAAUGGACACAUUGCUCAUGCCCUGCUCAGUCCCAGUGAGUGUGCACAGGGAGUGUGAGGGCAUUCCUGUGAAUACGUGUGCGCUGUGAAUGUAUAGGUCUGCCAGGCAGAAUAUCUGACACUUGCAAAAUUGUGCUCAUGUAUGCCAAAUGGCUGUAUCACAGGGCUUGAAAUCCCAGGUAAAAUGAGCAGUUCCUCAGAGUCUUCCCAGUUUUUUUGUGGGAGAAGAAAUAAUAUUUGGGGAAAAAUGUGCAUAUAUCAAUCCCUGUUAUCAAAUAUUUUAUUUUGAUUUCUUCAACACCCUGGGCAGCAACCAACUCUAAGUUACACUGAACUGGAUGGAAUUACUCACAUAUUGGCAUGUAAAUAGGUCUCUGCAGAAUUCUGAGCCUGCUUUAUGAUUAAACUUUACUGCCAGUGGCAAUAAAGAUGUAAUUAGCAUUAUUGUAAUAAUGGCAUCAUCUUUUGUCUUGUUUUUUCCCAGUCAGGAAUUAGAAAAAGGAAAUAAAAUGGUGUCAGUCUGCAUGGGAAGAAUGUUGGACCUGCAGAGUUAUACAGAGCACUGCACGCAUCUUGCUAGUGCAAACAAGAGCAACUCACCAUAAAAUUAAGGGAACAAACACUAUCCACUCAACAUCAUAGAACACAAUGUUGUUCUUUAUUAUAUUAUUUAAAAGGGGCAGAUUUACUCAGUCAUAAAUAAAUAAUUCAGAAGGUGUAAGAAGGCACAGCCAAUUAGCUGCAGUAAUUUGCAUUUUUAUGCUCCUUCAUUAGUUUUCGAAGGUUCUUCUCUCCUAUUAUAGCAAUGCAAAUGCCAUCUUCCAAAAGGUGAAUAGCCAACCUGUUUUUUGUUUGCAUGGUAAUGAAGCCUUUUCAAUUAUUGAAAGACCAAACAAUUUAAUAAUUCUUAAGACAAAUUUUUGUUGCUAUAAUAUCUCUUCCUUGUGGUUUUUUUUUCAAGAAACAUGCUUUUAUAAUGUAAUUUAUUUUAACCUGAAGCAGGGAGUUUAUCAGGUGCCUGAUCUUCUGAGGUUCUUAAAAUCAUGCCUAACUUUAAUCAUGUGAGUAAAUCUCAAAGCAAAGUAUUAAAAUCCUUUCUUAAUUUAGCAGCUGACAAAUAAUUCAGUGUAUGAUGUCUUUGUUUGCAGCAUAGAGUCUCUUUAUCCUUUGCGCAGGCAUGAAUUGAGAAGGGUUCAAUAUAUGAAUUUGACUGUUAGGGGAACUGCCCUUCCUUAUGCCCAUGCCCCAGAUAUCUGCUGGCGCAAGUACCCUCAAAAGCUUCCUGCAGCCUGCCCCAGGGAUUUCCCUUUCGGCCAUUACUAUCUUUGGGCACAGUCUUGCUAAAGUUGACGUCUUUAGCUUCUGAGAAAUACUCCUGAGGCCAGCGAGGUUAAAGUCUUCCUGCAGGCAUAACUGAAGUCCUGGUCACCAGAGUGCUGCAGGGCAACUGUGCUUGCUUGGUCUCUGCCUUCCCAUGCAGGGCACCAGCAAAUCCCACUGGCUUCCCAGAGAGCUGCUCCUAACCUGCAGCUGGCCUGACACGUACUUAUUUUUCCAUUUUUACUCUGGUAUUUUCCUUUCCAAAUGCUUUCCAUGUGAGGACAUUUCAUUUUAUUUUUAUAAUUAUUUUAUUUUUAAUACAGCCCCUCAUUCCAGAUGUAGAUAGUACACACUCAAACACAUUUAAAAGCUAAGUAAUGCUGAGGCUGCAUCUUUAUAGAAAUGUGUCAGAGGCAGAGGGUAAGCAGGAGAACUAUACAGAUAUUUCAGAGGGUCAGUGGGUACUAAUCUAAAAAAAAUAAAAAAGGGGGCAAAAAGAUUAAAACCUGGAGAAUGAAACAAAGAUAUGGUAUGUUUUCUGAGGCAACCUCUGAAGGGACUCGGGUGUUUAGAUUAACAUGAUUGCUAUCAGUUGGCUGAAGAAGACAAGAGACCUGUCCUUUUCCAUUUACAUCAGCAGUAUGCUCGUCUUUUGGGACAUUGAUCUUUCUAGGGCAACAUGCAGCAGUGAUUCCUCCCAAGGAACAUGGCACCACUCCCCAGCCCACUGAAAUCCACUCCAUCCUGUUCCCUAGUCACUUCAGUUUGGUUUAUUUUUAGCAGAGGUGUUGUUCACAAACUGCACAGAUCAUCUUGGAAAUUUUUGCUGGCAAAGAACAUACAAGAAGGCACAGUUUUUGUCAUUUCACUGAUAGUGCAGACAGCAUACCUGUAACACAGACCAAAUGACCGACUGUACAAGAAGCAAGGUGUGUUGUAUUUCAGACUUUAAACCUUAAGGCCAGAUCACUCCUGGUAAACAACUGAGAAGAAGUUAAGAUACUAAAGUUUUUCAGCCUCCAUCCCUUUGCAUGAUGAACCCAACGCAGCCUUCUAGAGAAAAAAAAGGAGAGUGGGUCAAAUGAGAACGAAAAGCAAAGUCAAUCAAAGCAAUUUUUGCCACUGCAGUGAUACUUCAGAUCACUGUUGAGUAAUUCAAAUAACUGAUUAAUUAAACAAAAAGGCCACAGAAAACUCACUUCUGUUGAGAGAGAGAUCAAGGUUCUCCCGUGAUUACCACACUCUUGGUGAGCAGCAGCAUAGGAGAUGCCCUCACAUGGACAUACAGCCCUUAAGUGGGGUUCUAAAGGGACAAGAGCAGCCCUUUUCCUCUUAUUUCUCAUCAUCACUAACAGUCACACGCCUGGACUCCUUUCCUGAAGCUCUUGCAUAAUUCAAGGCUAUAGCUGGAUGUUUUUCAGAUGUGUAGCUUUUCUUUUUUUGUCAGUUUACUGAAGUAAACUGUAAUUAAGAAAAAGUAAUACUAACAAUAAAAGCCCCUUCUGUGUUUCUCUUAAUAAUUUUAUUUCUUUGUUUGGAAGGAGCACCAGGGGACAACACCUUCAGUUUUUUAAAUGAGUUCUGUUUUUUUUUU